UGCAGUCGAGCGGUACAUUUCUAGCUUGCUAGAAGAUGACGAGCGGCGGACGGGUGAGUAAUGCUUGGGAAUAUGCCUUAUGGUGGGGGACAACAGUUGGAAACGACUGCUAAUACCGCAUAACGUCUACGGACCAAAGGGGGGGAUCUUCGGACCUCCCGCCAUUUGAUUAGCCCAAGUGAGAUUAGCUAGUUGGUAAGGUAAUGGCUUACCAAGGCGACGAUCUCUAGCUGGUUUGAGAGGAUGAUCAGCCACACUGGGACUGAGACACGGCCCAGACUCCUACGGGAGGCAGCAGUGGGGAAUAUUGCACAAUGGGCGAAAGCCUGAUGCAGCCAUGCCGCGUGUGUGAAGAAGGCCUUCGGGUUGUAAAGCACUUUCAGUAAGGAGGAAAGGGUAGUCGUUAAUAGCGGCUAUCUGUGACGUUACUUACAGAAGAAGCACCGGCUAACUUCGUGCCAGCAGCCGCGGUAAUACGAGGGGUGCAAGCGUUAAUCGGAAUUACUGGGCGUAAAGCGUUCGUAGGCGGUUGAAUAAGCAAGAUGUGAAAGCCCAGGGCUCAACCUUGGAACUGCAUUUUGAACUGUUCGACUAGAGUACUGUAGAGGGUGGUGGAAUUUCCAGUGUAGCGGUGAAAUGCGUAGAGAUUGGAAGGAACAUCAGUGGCGAACGCGGCCACCUGGACAGAUACUGACGCUGAGGAACGAAAGCGUGGGGAGCGA
rnacentral:rRNA from 1 species